UGAUAUAAAAUAAUUACUGUGUUAACAUAGGGAGACAUUCCAUAUUAUUUUAUUGCAAAAACAUGCCCUCCCAGUAAAUGCUUUUGUGAUAUCAAUCUGCAUUUGAAAGAUCUUUAAUGUGAUUUUAGUGUUUUGUCUCUAAAUAGUAUUCCCCUGAUAUCCACCACCCAUUUCCAGCAGAGGACUAAUAAACAAAACUCAGUUUGUCUGCAUGUAAAAAGUGUAAAAUACGUCAGUCCCUUUAAAUCUUAUUUGAAAUGACUGCUUAUAAUACAAUACUUAUUGUAGACAU